rnacentral:rRNA from 1 species
GCGAGUGAAGCGGCAACAGCUCAAAUUUGAAAGCUGGCUUAGGCCCGCAUUGUAAUUUGCAGAGGAUGCUUUUGGUGAGGUGCCUUCCGAGUUCCCUGGAACGGGACGCCAUAGAGGGUGAGAGCCCCGUAUGGAUGGCCACCAAACCUGUGUAAAGCUCCUUCAACGAGUCGAGUAGUUUGGGAAUGCUGCUCAAAAUGGGAGGUAAAUCUCUUCUAAAGCUAAAUACCGGCCAGAGACCGAUAGCGCACAAGUAGAGUGAUCGAAAGAUGAAAAGCACCUUGAAAAGGGGGUUAAACAGUACGUGAAAUUGUUGAAAGGGAAGCGCUUGUGACCAGACUUGCGCCGGGCGGCUCAUCAGGGGUUCUCCCCUGUGCACUCCGCCCGGCUCAGGCCAGCAUCGGUUCUCGUGGGAGGAUAAGAACGGUAGGAACGUGGCCCCCCUCCGGGGGGGUGUUAUAGCCUACCGUACGAUACUCUCGUGGGGACCGAGGUUCGCGCUCCGCAAGGAUGCUGGC